rnacentral:lncRNA from 1 species
CUCAGUAUCUUCCCCACGGAUAAAGCAUUUGGAUAGAAAAAUAAUCUUUUUUAAUUGCAAGAGUGGAUGAUCUUUCCCAUAACAGUAUAGAUUAUGCGCCAAACCAUAGGGAUAAACAUUUUAUAAAUCAUAUCAAUACUCAGCUCUUGCCACAUUCGGAAACAAUGCAAUAACAGAAGCAUUUCUCCAUAAAGAAAAAAUAAGAAUUAUUUGUAAACAGCUUCUCUAAGCAAGCACAUUUUUCAUAAAUCCGAUUGUCAAACAUCACAAAUGUUUGUCUCCAAGGCAACUUAGCUUUCUUAGCUAACUUUCGUCUUCUUGGCUGUAAUCCAUCAUGUCAAGCUUUCAUCUCCACGUCUCCAAUCCAGCCUCUGCCUCAUUAUAGCUAAUGCACUUCAAUUCAUCCCAAAAUCUCACUAUUCAUUAUGAAUAGACACCUUUCUAAUUGUCAGAAUACCGAAACAAUUUAUUGGAUCCUUUCAAUUUAUCUUUCAAGACUUUAAAUGCUUGCCAAGACAAAACUUAGAGAAAAAACAGAGAAAAUACUUCACCAAUCAACACGUGAAAAAAAUACAACUCAAGAUAAAUUAGAGGAGGACCUGCAAGGGCGUCGCUUCACCAUUGUCUUCUGAAAUACUGCCCAUAAGCAUCCCCAUUUAGUAUUAAUUCCAACGCUCGUUACACAAAAGAAAGAAAAUAUCGUGGGCAAUCUGAACUCUAAUUAAGCGAACGACAUGUGCGUAUGUCCAUGCAUAUGAGAAACAGCAGUUACUUUCUCAAGCUCAGUAAACACUUCACAAUAUGCAAUUACGAGAAAUAUCUUCAACACUAGUAUGUGCAGCUAAAGCUACAUCAAACAAAUAGGCUGCCUGAGGAAAAUUGUUAAGUUACUUUAAUUGAGUUUUCUUUAUUAUCAGAGUUUUAUUUCCUUUUUUACUUACAUAAGGAUAUUAUUGUUAUAUACAAUUUAUAUUCAAUAUAAAUACAAUGGGUGUAGGGUUUCUGUGAUUACAGAAAACUACAGCCCUCUCUUUCUUUCUUUUACGUUCUCUUUCUCCUCCUUCUCUCUUCCUUCUUUCUCUCUUUCUACUUGCUGCGGGUUCUCUAAUCAGUUUUGUGACAUGGUAUCAAAGCGGGUCUAACUAUUUGAUUACUUAAUCAUAUUGAUAUCACCCUGUAGCAUAUUCAAGAGAAUAUAGCUGAAGGGACCAUCUAAUACUUGACUUGGAGCUUAACUAUAUUUCCAUACUCCCACUGGGGUUGAACUAAACAGGUUGCCAAAUUCUAUUGUUUUGAACUCUCCAUAUCAUAAGUCCUAAAUCUUUUCAUUAACAUAAUAAAGGACAUUGAGAUGCAAAAAUGUAUGGGAACAUCUUAAAAGACAAUUCACAAAUCGUCAUUUAAUCAAUAGGACUAAAUUUCGCGCCACCAUAUCAAGAUAAUUAGUAAGUUACAACUUCAAAUAGAGUGGAAGGGCAUGCCAGUAUUGCUUUUAUCUAGAUAAAAUGGAUAUGUUUGUUGUGCAUCUCAAGAAUUGGCAGUCAACAACGAGGGAACAUAAUGGGGGACAUUUACGAGAGGCAAGUAACGGGAGCAACGGGACUUAAGCCAAUCCACUUUAUAUAAUUGUGUAUCCACUUUAUAUAUGUUUGUUGUGCAUCUCAAGAAUUGGCAGUCAACAACGAGGGAACAUAAUGGGGGACAUUUACGAGAGGCAAGUAACGGGAGCAACGGGACUUAAGCCAAUCCACUUUAUAUAAUUGUGUAUUCAUUAUGCACUUUAACAACUACAUGAGACUCCAAAGACGUCACAGGAGUGACUUAUUACGCCCAAGAAGAACUUAAACAAAAGAAUCUACGAAAGAAUUAAUUUUACCGGCACGUUACCACUACCAUGAGCAACUUUGCAUCCAGACUUUAGAUAAUGAUGCCUCGAAUCUUUAUGAACCUUAAAAAAAAAAAAAAAAAAAAUGACUUACUAGUCAAAUUGCAUGAUAUAACACUCAGAAAAACCAGCAGUAAGCCAUACAAUUUUGCUCUCUCCAGUCAUGCUAGAUUCAUCGAUUGCAAGAGAAUGACCAUGACCAGAAACCAAAACUCCAUCAGCGGGUACCUAAGGAUGAUCGAGUGGAAAUCAGGUCGCAUAACUACCAAACAGCGUGUAGAAAUCUCAAAAGAUGAAGCAGCUUACCUGAUCGCCA